rnacentral:rRNA from 1 species
AACGAACGCUGGCGGCAUGCCUAACACAUGCAAGUCGAACGAGACCUUCGGGUCUAGUGGCGCACGGGUGCGUAACGCGGGGGAACCUGCCCUUAGGUUCGGAAUAACUCCCCGAAAGGGGUGCUAAUACCGGAUAAUGUCUGCGGACCAAAGAUUUAUCGCCUUUGGAUGGGCCCGCGUUGGAUUAGCUAGUUGGUAGGGUAAAAGCCUACCAAGGCGACGAUCCAUAGCUGGUCUGAGAGGAUGAUCAGCCACACUGGGACUGAGACACGGCCCAGACUCCUACGGGAGGCAGCAGUGGGGAAUAUUGGACAAUGGGCGAAAGCCUGAUCCAGCAAUGCCGCGUGAGUGAUGAAGGCCUUAGGGUUGUAAAGCUCUUUUACCCGGGAUGAUAAUGACAGUACCGGGAGAAUAAGCUCCGGCUAACUCCGUG